GAUGAAGAAUGUAGCAAAAUGCGAUAAGUAAUGUGAAUUGCAGAAUUCAGUGAAUCAUCGAAUCUUUGAACGCACAUUGCGCCCGCCAGUAUUCUGGCGGGCAUGCCUGUUCGAGCGUCAUUUCAACCCUCAAGCACAGCUUGGUGUUGGGACUCGCGUUAAUUCGCGUUCCUCAAAUUGAUUGGCGGUCACGUCGAGCUUCCAUAGCGUAGUAGUAAAACCCUCGUUACUGGUAAUCGUCGCGGCCACGCCGUUAAACCCCAACUUCUGAAUGUUGACCUCGGAUCAGGUAGGAAUACCCGCUGAACUUAAGCAUAUCAAUAAGCGGAGGA
rnacentral:misc_RNA from 1 species